GGGUUCGAUUCCGGAGAGGGAGCCUGAGAAACGGCUACCACAUCCAAGGAAGGCAGCAGGCGCGCAAAUUACCCAAUCCCGACACGGGGAGGUAGUGACAAUAAAUAACAACACAGGGCUCUUUUGGGUCUUGUUAUUGGAAUGAGUACGAUUUAAAUCUCCUAACGAGGAACAAUUGGAGGGCAAGUCUGGUGCCAGCAGCCGCGGUAAUUCCAGCUCCAAUAGCGUAUAUUAAAGUUGUUGCAGUUAAAAAGCUCGUAGUUGAAUUUCAGGCCUGGCUGGACGGUCCGCCCUUCGGGUGAGUACUGUCUGUGGUCGGGUCCUACCUUCUGGCGAAGCGUCAUGGCCUUAACCGGCCGUGGCGGGGAACCAGGACUUUUACUGUGAAAAAAUUAGAGUGUUCAAAGCAGGCAAAUCGCUUGGAUACAUUAGCAUGGAAUAAUGGAAUAGGACAAUGGUUCUAUUUGUUGGUUUCUAGGACCGUUGUAAUGAUUAAUAGGGAUAGUUGGGGGCAUUAGUAUUCAAUUGUCAGAGGUGAAAUUCUUGGAUUUAUUGAAGACUAACUACUGCGAAAGCAUUUGCCAAGGAUGUUUUC
rnacentral:rRNA from 1 species